AUGUCUUUUCCAGUCCUGUUUUCAUUCUCCUUGGAUCCCACCACUUGAGAAGGAAAGAAAGUUGGGAAUUGGUCACCCCUGCAGGCUGACACAUCUCUGCUACAGCCCUUCUUGGGGACCUUCAUCAUCUUGGAGGAUUGGGACCCCACAGGACCACACACGGAGAGGUGGGGCCCAGCUGGCUGCCAGGAGCCCUGUGGGCUUGGGAGGCAGGACAGAAAAACACAUUCAAUAAAGGAGACUCCUCCGCCCCUCCCAGAGACUGCACCGGAUGUGAUGCAGCUGGAAGAAAGGAAGUUCCUUCCAGCUCAGCGCCAAUGCUGGGGGACUGCUCCAGAGAGCAUGUGAGCUGGGCUCGUGCCGGGAAAAACAAGAGGCAGGGAGAGCACGCAAAUGCAUGACACAAAGACGCCCGACGCCAAGAGGGAGGAAAGGGAGCAGAGGAGACAGAGACACGGCGAGAACGAAGGCACCGCGAAAGAAAAGCUGGGAACAAAGACCUCUAAUAUUACUAGCUAAAAACCCAUUUCACUAUAAACGUUAAUUCAUCUACUAAAUGUCAAGUGCUGUUGGCUGGAGCUGCAGUUUCUAUACCUCUCCUUGUUAUUAAUACGUACUUAGCGGCAGUGGGAAUUAGAAGCUCCGUAAUAAUACCCUUCCCAAAACACUUCAGAUGAAAAUUUCUGUUUGAAAUUUAAGGAGAAUUCUAUUAUGGCUGCAGCACGUUAUAUAAAAGGCCGAUGUCAGGAGCGAAGGCCUUCGUGGGUGCCCUCUGAUGGCUGAUAUGCUUGCGCCAGGACGGAAGCCCAUGGAUCUGGCCAUCAGUGGCCAGAGGCAGAGGAACACUCGGGCCGGCGUGGCCUGCAUGUGGAAACUCCUCCAUUCGGCCAACUUCCGAGCCCUCCCGCCAGCCUCCUUCGCACUCCUUCUCCCUGCUCGGUCGGGGAGCAACCACAAGGGUGUCUGGGGACCCACUCCCCUCCUGCAGGUGGGCACGGCAUGUGCCUAGGCCAUUGCCCCACCCCCAAACCACCUCAGUGAUAGGAGUGGGAGCUUGGAGUGUGAAAAUAAAGUCAGCCUUUAGACAGAACUGUUCGUCUUCCCCGAGGACUGCAGGCCUUCCCCUGUGGUUUUUGUUAUUUCCUUCGGAGACUGCAAAGGACAGUGACAUAAUUAAGUCUAUUGUCCUUCAUGCAUCUGUGGAGGCCGCCACCGUGGCUCCCGGUGAAAACCAUACUGACCCCCAACCAGCCCCCCUGCACUGUUCCCCCUCCCAUUCAGGGCAGGUCUGCUGCACCAAGGACCUUCCAAAGCCUCCAUCUGACCCCUGGACACCCAGCAGCAAACCCCCUUAUCCACCCACUCCGGCAAAUUCCUUUGCCAGGAGCCCAAGCCCCUGCAGAUGCUGGCCCACACUGCCCUUUCCCACCUCACAUCUCAUUCAGCCAAGGCCUUUCACCCUCUGCACUCUGGCCAGACUGGGCUUCUCAAUGUGAGUGCCUCCUUAUUCCUUAGGGCCUUUGCACGUGCUGCUGCCUGGAACCUUCUUACCUCCUCCUCUGCCUGUUCGACUCCUGCUCCAUCCUUCAAGCAGGCCCUCCUCUGAAAAGCCUCUGCUGGCCUCCCACCUCUCCCCAGCCUGGCUCCGUACCUCCAGCCACCAUGGACACAGCUCCACACCAUCUCUGUGGUAACAUCUGCAUGAGUGGUGCCUGGUUCUGAGCCAAUCCCUUCCAGCAAUCUAGAAGGUCCUUAGGGCAGGGUUUGGGCCUGAUUCAUCUCUGUGUUGCCAGCACGUGACACAGGGCUGCCACAUAGUAAGGGCUCAACAAAAGUUUGUUGAAUAAAUGAAAUGUCCUGAACUAGACCUGAUGCCUCUUGCUGAGCAGUUCAAGGCCAAUGGAGGAAUGUGGCAGGUGGGGAUGCACCAGCCUGGUGAGGCUGGACUACAUUUCCCAGAAUUCUGCUCUCUGGAGGUGUCCAGUCAGGAUGAGGCCCAAGAUACAUCCUCAUAUGGAUUUGAAGGGUGGCGGUGAAGUGGCAGCUGCUUUUAUGUCCACGCUCAGCCGUCCGGGACAGGCCUUUCUGCAGGCCACAUGUGCUGCCUAUCUGCAGGCCGGCUUCCCUGAGGUGGGCAGCACUAAGGCCUGCACCUGCUCC
rnacentral:lncRNA from 1 species